rnacentral:rRNA from 1 species
UACGGAGGGGGCAAGCGUUAUUCGGAAUUAUUGGGCGUAAAGGGCUCGUAGGCGGCCAACUAAGUCAUACGUGAAAUCCCUCGGCUUAACCGGGGAACUGCGUCUGAUACUGGAUGGCUUGAGUUCGGGAGAGGGAUGCGGAAUUCCAGGUGUAGCGGUGAAAUGCGUAGAUAUCUGGAGGAACACCGGUGGCGAAGGCGGCAUCCUGGACCGAUACUGACGCUGAGGAGCGAAAGCCAGGGGAGCAAACGGG